AUCCAGCUGAUGAGUCUCAAAUAGAACGAAACGCGCGUCAAACUGGAU
rnacentral:hammerhead_ribozyme from 1 species